AUGGACUAUCAUGAUAGACUAUUUGAAGAGGCAGCUGAAGGUCUUCAUCAGUUAGCAGACAAACUUCCUCCUCCAGGGAAGUCUUUGCUCAAUGUUAUUGUUCUCUGUGUGGAUGAGGAGGUGGGGUUGAAGGAUAUGUUGCCUGUGAUUGGCUCUUUGAAGCACAUGAGGGCAUGGCAUUCGGCACAGAUGAUCAUGGUCACUGAACACAGUGCAGGGUGGCAGAAAGCAGCCUUGUACCUAGAUGCCCGCUUAUGUUCUCCAUCAGUGAUUCACAGCUGUGUGGAUGGGAGGGAGAUUUGGAGAGGUGGACUUCACAUUAGAGAG